rnacentral:rRNA from 1 species
UCUGACAGCAGUAGCGUGCAGGAUGACGGCCCUAUGGGUUGUAAACUGCUUUUGUAUGGGGAUAAAGUUAGGGACGUGUCCCUAUUUGCAGGUACCAUACGAAUAAGGACCGGCUAAUUCCGUGCCAGCAGCCGCGGUAAUACGGAAGGUCCAGGCGUUAUCCGGAUUUAUUGGGUUUAAAGGGAGCGUAGGCUGGAGAUUAAGUGUGUUGUGAAAUGUAGACGCUCAACGUCUGAAUUGCAGCGCAUACUGGUUUCCUUGAGUACGCACAACGUUGGCGGAAUUCGUCGUGUAGCGGUGAAAUGCUUAGAUAUGACGAAGAACUCCGAUUGCGAAGGCAGCUGACGGGAGCGCAACUGACGCUUAAGCUCGAAGGUGCGGGUAUCAAACA